rnacentral:rRNA from 1 species
CUAAGCUCCUGCUUCUGGAUGAGCCCGCGUCCCAUCAGCUAGUUGUAGGGUAAUGGCCUACCAAGGCUACGACGGGUAGCUGGUCUAAGAGGAUGGCCAGCCACACUGGAACUGAGACACGGUCCAGACUCCUACGGGAGGCAGCAGUGGGGAAUCUUGCGCAAUGGGCGAAAGCCUGACGCAGCGACGCCGCGUGGGUGACGAAGGCCUUCGGGUUGUAAAGCCCUGUGGGGUAGAACGAACUGGCAUCGGGCUAAUAUCUCGGUGUCUUGACGGUACUGCCUUAGCAAGCAUCGGCUAACUCUGUGCCAGCAGCCGCGGUAAGACAGAGGAUGCGAACGUUGCUCGGAUUUACUGGGCGUAAAGCGCGUGUAGGCGGUCUCGUUAGUCGGGUGUGAAAGCCCCGGGCUCAACCCGGGAAGUGCACCCGAUACUGCGAGACUGGGGUACUGAAGAGGAGAGCGGAAUUCCCGGUGUAGAGGUGAAAUUCGUAGAUAUCGGGAGGAACACCAGUGGCGAAGGC